GAGUAGUCUAGUGGUUAGAGCGUCCGCCUAGGAUGCGGGAGGUCGCGGGUUCGAACCCCAGCCGAGUCA